rnacentral:rRNA from 1 species
UACGAGGGGGGAGAGCGUUGUUCGGAAUUAUUGGGCGUAAAGGGUGCGUAGGCGGCCUGACAAGUCUGAUGUGAAAUCCCUGGGCUCAACCCAGGGCCUGCAUCGGAAACUGUCGGGCUUGAGUAUGGGAGAGGUGAGUGGAAUUUCCGGUGUAGCGGUGAAAUGCGUAGAGAUCGGAAAGAACACCAACGGCGAAAGCACUCUGCUGGGCCGACACUGACACUGAGAGACGAAAGCUAGGGGAGCGAAUGGG